CUCUUGCAGUGGGCAGUUGGGGUGACACAUCCUGACCUGCGCUCUCUAUUCCAGAGCGUCAGUGGAACAUGUGGAUCCCCGGUUUUGGUUCUGAAGAAAUCAGACCCUACAAAAAAGCCUGCACUACAGAAGCUCACAAACAGAGAAUGGCACUGAUUCGCAAAACCACAAAGAAAUAACGCCUGGGAAGAGCCGGGAGAAGACACCAGUGCAUUUUGGGAUCUCUGCCUCUCCACUGAAGCCUCCACCAUGCCAUCCAUGGGAUAUUUUUUUUAAUGCUUUACAGAGAAGCAUAUAUCUAUUUUUUAUUAACGGUGCAGCAAUAUCUUGACUUUAUGAGGAGAUCUGCCAAAAAACACUCUACGCUCCCUUUCCUCAAUUCAUCCUCAGAGCGCAACGUAUCUCAAAAGACUCUUAUUUGUGACUUGAAAGUGGUUUAUGGUUUAAGUGAUUAUCCAAGGGACAGAGCAUUUGUUCUUGUGUGGGACAGUAUUAGAAGCAGCUGUAGAGGUUUUUUUUGUUUCCUCCUUCCUGCCCUUUAACCUGCUCCAGUACUUUGUAAUGUCAGUGUUUAUAUAAAUACUUGCGUUUGUUUUACAUGAAUAAAGAAAUUAUUAAUCU